rnacentral:rRNA from 1 species
GACGAACGCUGGCGGCGUGCCUAAUACAUGCAAGUCGAACGAAACUUUCUUACACCGAAUGCUUGCAUUCACCGUAAGAAGUUGAGUGGCGGACGGGUGAGUAACACGUGGGUAACCUGCCUAAAAGAAGGGGAUAACACUUGGAAACAGGUGCUAAUACCGUAUAUCUCUAAGGAUCGCAUGAUCCUUAGAUGAAAGAUGGUUCUGCUAUCGCUUUUAGAUGGACCCGCGGCGGAUUAACUAGUUGGUGGGGUAACGGCCUACCAAGGUGAUGAUACGUAGCCGUACUGAGAGGUUGAUCGGCCACAUUGGGACUGAGACACGGCCCAAACUCCUACGGGAGGCAGCGGUAGGGAAUCUUCCACAAUGGACGCAAGUCUGAUGGAGCAACGCCGCGUGAGUGAAGAAGGUCUUCGGAUCGUAAAACUCUGUUGUUAGAGAAGAACACGAGUGAGAGUAACUGUUCAUUCGAUGACGGUAUCUAACCAGCAAGUCACGGCUAACUACGUGCCAGCAGCCGCAGUAAAAC